rnacentral:lncRNA from 1 species
AAAUCUUGUCCCAAGGUUACACGUCUCAAUGUUCUUCGUCUUCCAUCUAAAUUGUAACUUGUUUCUAACUCAUGAGUCAAAAUGAUAUAUUUUGAAAUAACAUGAAACUGCAAUGUCAAUUAAUAUCUAUCUCUACCCUAGUAAACAUGCUAUCUCUACCCUAAUAAACAUGCUAGAAUGAUAGUUUACAGUGUGAAUGAUUUUAACCUAAUCCUAUUAUACAAUGAAAACAAAGCAGAUGGAAUUGUAAAAUUCAUAUGCCAGGCCAUCUUCACCACAA